rnacentral:rRNA from 1 species
GUCGAGAAUCUUCCGCAAUGCGCGAAAGCGUGACUGAGCGACACCGCGUGAUGGAUGAAGUCCUUCGGGGCGUAAACAUCUUUUAUAAAGGAGGAAAUUUUUGACGUUACUUUAUGAAUAAGGGGCUCCCAAUCUCGUGCCAGCAGGAGCGGUAAUACGAGAGCCUCAAGCGUUAUCCGGAAUCAUUGGGCGUAAAGGGUGCGUAGGUGGUUUGAUUAGUCUCCCGUUAAAACUUCGAGCUUAACUCGAAAAGAGCGGGGGAAACGGUCAAACUAGAGUAUGUGAGAGGUGGGUGGAACUCAUGGUGUAGGGGUGAAAUCCGUUGAUAUCAUGGGUAACACCAAAAGCGAAGGCAGCACACUGGCAAAUCAAUGACACUGAGGCACGAAACCUAAGGUAGCGAAUGGGAUUAGAUACCCGGGUAGUCC